rnacentral:rRNA from 1 species
GCUUGUCUCAAAGAUUAAGCCAUGCAUGUCUAAGUAUAAAUCUUUUACUUUGAAACUGCGAACGGCUCAUUAUAUCAGUUAUAGUUUAUUUGAUAGUCCCUUACUACUUGGAUAACCGUAGUAAUUCUAGAGCUAAUACAUGCGUCAAUACCCUUCUGGGGUAGUAUUUAUUAGAUUGAAACCAACCGCUUCGGCGUGAUGUGGUGAUUCAUAAUAACCGAACGAAUCGUAUGGCAUCAGCUGGCGAUGAAUCAUUCAAGUUUCUGACCUAUCAGCUUCCGACGGUAGGGUAUUGGCCUACCGUGGCAAUGACGGGUAACGGAGAAUUAGGGUUCGAUUCCGGAGAGGGAGCCUGAGAAACGGCUACCACAUCUAAGGAAGGCAGCAGG